rnacentral:tRNA from 1 species
GGGGAUUUGGCUCAGUGGUAGAGCACUUGCCUAGCAAGCGCAAGGCCCUGGGUUCAGACCCCAGCUCCG